rnacentral:rRNA from 1 species
CAGCCGCCGCGGUAAUACGUAGGGUGCGAGCGUUACUCGGAUUUACUGGGCGUAAAGCGUGCGCAGGCGGCCCGUUAAGACAGGUGUGAAAUCCCUGGGCUCAACCUAGGAAUUGCGCUUGUGACUGGCGGGCUCGAGUACGGUAGAGGGGGGUGGAAUUCCUGGUGUAGCAGUGAAAUGCGUAGAGAUCAGGAGGAACACCGAUGGCGAAGGCAGCCCCCUGGGCCUGUACUGACGCUCAUGCACGAAAGCGUGGGGAGCAAACAGGAUUAGAUACCCUGGUAGUCCACGCCCUAAACGAUGGGUACUAGCCGUUUGGUGCGCGAUAGCGCUGAGUGGCGAAGCUAACGCGUGAAGUACCCCGCCUGGGGAGUACGGCCGCAAGGUUGAAACUUAAAGGAAUUGGCGGG